rnacentral:misc_RNA from 1 species
GUUAUUGUAUUCAUCAACGAUCUGAAAAAAAAAUCAUAUUAUUAUUAUACCGAAUAGUAGCACUGGAAAUAAAUAUGUGUAUUCAUUUUUCUAAAAAAUGUGUUUAUCCAUGUAUGUUGAGUUGUAACUACAGUGUUUAGAUAUAAUGGAAUUUGACCAUGGCUUUCGAGCGUGGCAGUUACCAAUUAAUCCUUUGUAAAUGUUGUCGAGGGGUGAAGUGGGACAAUGAGAAACUGGCGUUUGAUAAAUCGUAGGAAUUCAGAAAUACAUGAGAGGUUUUACCGAGCCGUAACUGGUGGUAUACAUGUAAUUCUUGAUAAACUGAGCUGCUAUAUUGAACCCAUGUACUUAUUAACUGUUAAAUAAUAAAAUAUACAACACACAAGUAUAGGUUUUAUCUUUACAUCAAAUUACUAAUAUGAUUUUUUCAAUAAGAAUAUACAUUUAUUGUGUAAUAUUUUAAUGAAUUUAUUAUGUUCUUAUCAAAUUAUAGAUAUAUGUUGGUCAUAGAAUGAAAGAAAAUAAAUAUGUAUAAUCCUGUUUUUAAUAUUCGGCUUAUGUAUGCUACUGCUCGAACAGUAUAAAUUAUCUAAUACAAAUGCACACACAGCAGUAAGUACCGUUUAUUGUUUAACCAGUUUGUGAAUCCCUGAUUUCCGAUAAUAAUACAAAACUCGGCGUAUCAGUAUUGGCUCCCCUCCACCAAAAUUACCAAGAAAAUAAACUGGUCGCCGUAACCCAAAACUCCGAGGCUAAAUUCCGAUGUGAUUGUAGGUACGUAUGUUUGUUUGGAAAUAAACUGGUAGGGUUGGUACCUACGUUGGAAGGGGGGUGGUGGUGGAACAAAUAGAAUCGUCGUUCGCCCGAUAUCACGUUGGCCGACAGUGGAAACUGGAAACAACUGGAAACCACAGCAUCAGUGCAUCGACGACGAUUCCACCCGGCAAGACAAUAGGUACAUUUACUGCCAGUUACUGCAUGUAGAACUGUAUCUCCGUCAUGACGUGAUUGGUUAAAUAAUCUUAAUCAUCGGAUGAGUUUUUUCCGUGUUAUACGACACAGUUAAUACAAUUUGAGUGACACGAUAUAGCAGUCAAAAGAUAAGAAUCUGGCCAUUAAACAAUAUAAUUCAAGUUACGAAUGAAUUCCUCGAUAUCCAUACAUCUGUGGAUUUGUAUGUUGUUAUUCCUACCAUCAUGUCACAGAGGUCGAGCUCAGUUCUUUUUUAAAGAUGGUUUGAUGAUAAAUAUAACCGACUGGUACCUACAUCUAAAAACCAAAGAA